rnacentral:rRNA from 1 species
UACGAAGGGGGCUAGCGUUGUUCGGAAUUACUGGGCGUAAAGCGCACGUAGGCGGACAUUUAAGUCAGGGGUGAAAUCCCAGAGCUCAACUCUGGAACUGCCUUUGAUACUGGGUGUCUUGAGUAUGGAAGAGGUGAGUGGAAUUCCGAGUGUAGAGGUGAAAUUCGUAGAUAUUCGGAGGAACACCAGUGGCGAAGGCGGCUCACUGGGUCCAUUACUGACGCUGAGGUGCGAAAGCGUGGGGGAGCAAACAGG